GACGAACGCUGGCGGCGUGCCUAAUACAUGCAAGUAGAACGCUGAAGGAGGAGCUUGCUUCUCCGGAUGAGUUGCGAACGGGUGAGUAACGCGUAGGUAACCUGCCUGGUAGCGGGGGAUAACUAUUGGAAACGAUAGCUAAUACCGCAUAACAGUAGAUGUUGCAUGACAUUUGCUUAAAAGGUGCAAUUGCAUCACUACCAGAUGGACCUGCGUUGUAUUAGCUAGUUGGUGAGGUAACGGCUCACCAAGGCGACGAUACAUAGCCGACCUGAGAGGGUGAUCGGACACACUGGGACUGAGACACGGCCCAGACUCCUACGGGAGGCAGCAGUAGGGAAUCUUCGGCAAUGGACGGAAGUCUGACCGAGCAACGCCGCGUGAGUGAAGAAGGUUUUCGGAUCGGAAAGCUCUGUUGUAAGAGAAGAACGAGUGUGAGAGUGGAAAGUUCACACUGUGACGGUAUCUUACCAGAAAGGGACGGCUAACUACGUG
rnacentral:rRNA from 1 species